UGAGGAAUAUUGGGCACUGCCCGCAAGGGUGACCCAGCAACGCCGCGUGGAGGAUGAAUGUCGUAAGAUUGUAAACUCCUGUUAGAGGGGAAGAAUAGUACCGGUUGGACCGGUAUAUGACUGUACCCUCAGAGAAAGCCCCGGCUAACUACGUGCCAGCAGCCGCGGUAAUACGUAGGGGGCAAGCGUUGUCCGGAUUUACUGGGUGUAAAGGGCGCGCAGGCGGGAUAAAAAGUCAGUGGUGAAAUCCUACAGCUUAACUGUAGAACUGCCUUUGAUACUUUUAUUCUUGAGUUCGGGAGAGAGAGACGGAAUUCCAGGUGUAGUGGUGAAAUACGUAGAUAUCUGGAAGAACACCAGUUGCGAAGGCGGUCUCUUGGUCCGACACUGACGCUGAGGCGCGAAAGCGUGGGGAGCAAACA
rnacentral:rRNA from 1 species